rnacentral:lncRNA from 1 species
UCCACCAAUUAAUACUUGUCUCUGCUUGAUAGACGGCUAUAGUGACUAACCAGCUUACAACCUAACUUAAGCUCAGUUGUUGGCGGCCUUCUGGUUCGCAAACAGGAGCUUAACUGACAGGGCAGCUUGACUCUAGUACGACAACAGCCCCUCCACAGAAGACAGAAAAUGAGUGGGAAAGGGGCGGGUUGCUAAGGGUGCUUCAGCCUCAUUGGCUAUUCCGUGAAGGCGAUAACAAACGGGACGUCUUGCUCGUUCGUUCGGCAGAAAACUGGAAAGAAGGAAGGAACUAACAAGCAUUUGCUUGGGUAAUUAAAGAAGUUGCGGAUUGAUCUCUGCGAUCAAGUGGGUCGCUGUACAUAAUGGCUGCUCACAAGUAAUGCAUCACCAAUUGCUAUGGAGCACGAAUAGUAGCAGUAAACUGACAUGAGCCUAUUAAGAUUCAUAAAUUCAUGCCGUUUUUGCCUCUCUGGAGCUUAGCAACGAAGCAAAAAUUACACCACCUCGGGUUGAAUAGCAUGCAUUCUUUGAAGUAAAGCCAUGGCAACCCUGAGGGACAUCCAGGAAGGCCGAGGGAGACAGAUAUCCUGAAAACCGCACUCCAGGAAGCUCGGUUCAUUCGCUGCACGUCCUGACUUCCUUUCCCUCAACACCCCUUCAUCUAAUUAUACUCUACAUCUCCUAUAAACAGAAUAGCAGUUGGUGGAUUAUGUAACGUAUACACACAAUAUCUCUGUUCUGCUACAGACAUAAGCACUUGAACUGCAAUGGUUCAAAGGUUAUCUGAAGCAACUAAAGAAUCCUCAUACUUCAUAUCAACUUGGGCUUGCAUUUGUGUGUGGUGGAUCCGGAAGGCAUACCGCAGAGCUGUGAAACACACAUUUUUUUAAAACUUCCCUGAACUCCACAUACUUCCUUAAUCCUGUUUGCAGCUGGUGUUCUAAAAUCCUGUGAUUGAUACUGC